CAAAAAUUGGGUGGUGUUUCUUAUCCAUGUAAAUCAAAAUAUCCAUCUCAAAAGCUGCCUUUCUGGGAACUUGCACAGAAGAAGAGCAGAUCAAUGUUGCAUGAUGCUACAUCGCAAAAUAACUUCUUUGAGAGCUGUUGGGAAUGGGAACAACUUUGGUGCCUUUGCUGAAUGACAACAAAAACGGCAGCUUCAGCUGGUCGAGGCACCACCGGAUGGAUUCCUUUGAUUUCUGUCUCCUUUUCUAUGACCAACCAAUGUGGUAGAUGGUGGAAACUCUAUUACUGGAGGUUUUUAAAAGCAGCUUCCCUACUGCUGCUAAGAGGAUGAUCCUGCCUCUUAUUAGCCACCAUGAAGAACAAGUGACGUAAAUGAAGAAGACAGAAGACAAUAAAGGUCAGUGACCUCAGUCA
rnacentral:lncRNA from 1 species